ensembl:lncRNA
ACUGAAUGUGUCAGAAAACAGACACGUACCUGAAGGCCUCCCUUCUUUAAAAAUACUUUUUGAACAAGAUGUCCAGCUGUUUUCCACAGCUGUUAAGCUGCUGAGAGGUUUGGUGGAGUUAGUUCUGUUGUACCAAGAGACAACAACCUGUGCCUGUGUGCAGAGAGCCUCCCUGCAGGAGGUGCCUCCAGUCUUUGGGAAUCCCUGGUGUCCCAAGAAGCCUAUCUAAGGACCAAACAUGGGAAACGAGGUCAUAAAUCUAGCUUCAUUGCUUUAUCUUUGGAGAGUUCCUGGCAAGACUGGGGAGCUGCAAAGUGAUGGAGUGCAUGGUCCCUGACUACAAGGCAUAUCUGGGUUGGAGCCUCAGACAGUGCUCGUGCAGACUGGUGUUUGGUGAUGGUAAUUUGAUACCACCACACCAGACAUAGUUUUGUUCCACACUGGUCUGAUUCAGCCUACCCUAACUUUAGCCACCUAAAAAUUACCAGUCUAUGUUUCAGCUUUUAAGUCACAGGAAGGGCAGAAGCAGAGAUGCCUCUGGAAAACUGUAUGAUGGCAUCCAUCGCCCUCUCCAGUAAUAAAUUCUGAUUGCUUUUAAGAGCAUACAGUUGGGUUUAAUACUUAGCUUCACAUCCCUGGAAUGGGCUGGAAUGGGAAAGAAUAACAGCUCCUGAGAAUCUGAAUCCAUGUGGCUUCCAGAUGAGUUUUUGAAUCCUUCAGUCUCACAGUCUCAAACAUGAUUUCUGCCCCGUAGUUUGCUAUUUUGUCUCCUUCUGUACUUCUUUUUUUUUUUCUUUCUUUUUUUUCUUUUUUUAAUAUAUAUAUAUAUAUAUAUAUAUAAGCAGGGGUAACUUGAAUUAGCUUGUUAAACAUUUCUGGAAGGUUUAUCCCUGCCCUCCUUUAUUUGUUAAAUGGGCUCUCUCAUUCUUUGUCUGCACUGAUUCAUUCAUUUAAAGCAACAUAUGAAGAAACCAUUGCAUAGAUGAAUCAACACCAGCAAUAGCAUAUGCUGCUUUUAAAUUCAGCUGUGAGGUUGUAACUAAGAUAUUAAUGUAUAUACUUUCUAGGGAUGACUAGAUUCCUUUCCUAAGAGCUUUCAGGAAUGAAUCUAGAAGCUCCUAAUUUAGGAUUGUGAAAAUUCAGGUAGUAAUGGCAGUAUAUGGGGAUUUUUUGUACGCUUUCUGUAAAUGUAUAUAAUUUCAUAUGCUGGUUUGGAGAUAAGGAAGGUACCCAGUUUCAGAUAGACCAGAUUUUUGCAGACAGCAUUACUGUCUGGGUUAGCAAAGCCCAUCUAGGUUCCACCUCAGGCUUGCACCAUACACCUACCUUAAUUCUCACCCACUUGGUAUCUGUCUUUCUUCAUUCACCAUGGGUACCAAGUCAAAACAAUCAUACCACUUCUUGUUGCAAGCUGAGGAACAGCUGAGGUUUAAAAAUAUGAAUGUUGCAACUUGCGCCUUUUCACCUUCAUGAAGUGUCCACAUUGUCUCAGCUGAGCCUCCAAAGAGUGGCUGCCUCCAAAGUUGCCAUAUAAUUUCAUCACACAAACGUAGGUGUAAUUUAUUUUUUAUAUUUUAAGGAGUCUAACAGCAGCAGUAUUAGUAUGUUUGCUGUAUUUUCAGAGUUGUGGGUCAUUCGGUGUUGAAAAUGAUAAGCAUCUUGUGUAGCUAUGAAUAGAAAAACUGAGAAAUGGUUCUUACGUAUGCUAGUACAAUCCCUGCUCUGCUGUUUGAUGUUUUAAGUGCUGAACUGAACCAAAAUAUUAUCUUCGAGAAUUACCAUAAGAGUCAUCCCUCCGUGAUUUUUUCUGUUCCUGCCUCUGGGUCCUUAGUGAAUUCUGGGCCAAGAAUAAAGCAGUGGCAGUUGCAAAGGUAACUGUGGUAGCCACUUCUGGACAACUUUUCAGAUGCAUACAGCCAUUCUGUCUGUUGCCUGAUACUCUUGCAUUUUUCUCAGUGGAUCACCAUAUUCUUGAACAUCUUGAUGGGUUUUGUCAGCCAUGGAGGAGAUGUGGACAAGAUUAGCACCCGGGAAGUGUUGAAAUGUAGCAAGUAAUGAGCUAUCUUCUCCAGCAAGCAUUUAUUUUUAGUGCUUAACUUUCAAUUAAUGUUUAUAUUUUCAGUUAUAUUUUAUCAUUCAGUAUCUUGAGGUGGUUUGAGCAAAAUAUAUGAAUAUAUAUAAUUUACAAGAAAUAUAGGCUUGUAUUGUGCCUUUGUAAUUCUCUUCAGCUUCAGUAUCUAUAAGCUACGAGCGGACAAACCUUUGGGGUAUUCUUUACUACAUAGUAGCUGAUGGCUUCAUUAAUACUGGCUAUUUGAGUCUUCUGGGUCUAAUGUUUAUGUUUUCCCAGGUGAAAACGCCAUAGUGUUCUCCACCAGACAUAAGCACAAUGACAUAUCACUGCAGUGCAUGCUGUCUCUUAGCUUCUCUCUACAUGUGCUUGCAUGUUGAAAAUUUAGAAAUGCUGCUGUAUAAAUUGCUACCUUGUUUACCCAAUACAGGUGUUUUCCUGCAUCCCUUGUUUGCUUGAAACUUAUUAACAUGAAAGUUAUCAUUGGCUUGAAAGGGAGUUGUGGAUGCACAAAGGAUGCAGGGAGCAACUCUUCAGUAGUUUACAGGCUGCUGUGCAUUAAUGUCUUCUCAGCAAAGAAAUGUAGCAUUAGCAGUGACUUCCUAGUGAAAACACUGAGCGUGCUUAUCACUUAAGACUUUAGGAAAAAGCGUCAGACUGUGUAAUUGUAUCUCAUCUAACUUAGACAUCUAACCAGUAACAUUUGAUGAGGCGUGUGCCUCACAUUUAACUAUGUUUGAUCAUGACGUACCAACCAACACAGAACUGAAAGGUGAACAGCCAUGUUUUAGUAUCACAGCUACACAAGAAAUCACGAGUUUUCACGAGGUUCUGUUCUGAUUUUGUUUCCUUAUCUCUAAAACAUUUUCACUGUGGAAGUAUUUUUCCAUCCAGUUACCUGAGGCUUCCUUUCACCAACCAAAACAGUCCAUAGCCUUCUACACUGUGAAAGGCAAGCUCUGUGGAGAAAUGUGGGCUUUCCGCUUGCCCAGCAAAUUCGAAGAAAUUUCAUCCAAGCCAUAAAAGCCUUUUAUGUUAUUCUGUGUUUGUGUAAUCAAAGCAAUUAGGGAUAGGAACCUCGGUAAUGAAGAGGUCUCUCUGUCCUCCGUUUUACUCUCUCUCUGUAAUUUGUAGGGAUUUAAGAGUUAUUUUCUCAAGGCUCAGCUGUGUCUCUCUAAACCAGCGCAGUCUACGCAUCAUGUGAGAUUCAACUUAAUGGGGAUAGCAUUUGAACGUUUAAGAUUUACUUUUCACAUAGCAAGGAGUAAUGUAUGUCCCUAGGGACAUGGACUCUUGCAAACAAGUCUGAUACCAAGGAUAAAAAAUCAAGAUGGUACCAGUACAUCAGACUCUGUACUACAGUGGGUUUUUUAGCUUUUGUCAUUUGUAUUUUAUUUUGCAGGAGAGGAGUUGGGGAAUCUCAAAUCACAUGGGGGAUUUUAGAAGUAUAUCACUCAACAAUCAUUUUAUAAAGUCUAACUUCAAAAUGCACUAUGAUUUAUUACAAAAAUAUAUUUUCUUCUGUUUGCCGACAUGGUUGUUCCACUUUGUGAUAAGUUAAACUAAGCAGUUAAUUUGUUGCACUGCCUAGCUGCAUGAAUUCAUCCAGUGUACGUAUGUACCUGUGCAGCAUUACUUUGGGUUUUGUAUUUGAAUUUGCAGUAUUGAUUAUUAUUUUUGUAUUUUACUUUGCCUCUGUUAUUGGAAUUGUAGUAAACAUAAUUUAUACAUAUGAUUUUACAACUGUUUUGCAACUGAAAAGUCUUCUUUAAAUUGUAAAGUUUUAUUGAUGGAUACUCAUUAAAAUG